rnacentral:misc_RNA from 1 species
AGUUAAUAUUUUAUGCAUGUUGAAUUUAAUAGUCUUGCAUUUGUGUGUAAAAAUUACAAAUUCCGGGCCUAGCUCCAAUACUGAGGGCAACGAUUAAUUAGAGAUUAUGAUGGAAAACGAAUGUAUAGCUAAGCUAUCUGAGCCACGAAGUAUCACGAUCAUCAGAAGAAAUGAAAGAAGAAAACUUGAACACCAAAACUUCAACUCCAAGCUCAGAGAAUGCUCAACGCGGAACAAGAGAGUCCCUACAAAGAGGGCAACUCAUGUGGCCAUAAGAAACCCACCUGUCUAAACAAACACUAUGACAGAUAUAUGUUUCAGAGAAUGCUCAACGCGGAACAAGAGAGUCCCUACAAAGAGGGCAACUCAUGUGGCCAUAAGAAACCCACCUGUCUAAACAAACACUAUGACAGAUAUAUGUUUCAGAGAAUGCUCAACGCGGAACAAGAGAGUCCCUACAAAGAGGGCAACUCAUGUGGCCAUAAGAAACCCACCUGUCUAAACAAACACUAUGACAGAUAUAUGUU